rnacentral:rRNA from 1 species
AGGCAGCAGUGGGGGAUAUUGCACAAUGGGGGGAACCCUGAUGCAGCGACGCCGCGUGGGUGAAGAAGCGCCUCGGCGCGUAAAGCCCUGUCAGCAGGGAAGAAAAUGACGGUACCUGAAGAAGAAGCCCCGGCUAACUACGUGCC